UGGAUUGGUGCCUUCGGGAACUCUGACACAGGUGCUGCAUGGCUGUCGUCAGCUCAUGUCGUGAGAUGUUGGGUUAAGUCCGUACGAGCGCAACCCUUGUCCUUAGUUACCAGCACGUUAUGGUGGGCACUCUAAGGAGACUGCCGGUGACAAACCGGAGGAAGGUGGGGAUGACGUCAAGUCAUCAUGGCCCUUACGGCCUGGGCUACACACGUGCUACAAUGGUCGGUACAAAGGGUUGCCAAGCCGCGAGGUGGAGCUAAUCCCAUAAAACCGAUACGUAGUCCGGAUCGCAGUCUGCAACUCGACUGCGUGAAGUCGGAAUCGCUAGUAAUCGUGAAUCAGAAUGUCACGGUGAAUACGUUCCCGGGCCUU
rnacentral:rRNA from 1 species